rnacentral:lncRNA from 10 species
CUGGCAGCCACACUCUGACCUGCAGUAACUUCUGCACUGGUUGACAUUCACCGCUUUGAACAUAGAAACAAGAGGCUCCCUGUAGCUGCUGCCUUUUGUGGGCUUCGCCAUCGUCCUCCUGAGCAGGCUUCCACAUUAAGGACUCAGAAAUUUCUAACACUUUACAAGAGGGAGGAGUGAACAGCAAGUGGUUUGGAAAUCACAAAUUUGUAGGAGCUCAGCAAGUGCUACUUAGGUCUAAGGGACACAGGGCAGGUUUGGAUUAAGAAAUGACACCAGUUUGGGGCCGGGCGCAGUGGCUCACGCCUGUAAUCCCAGCACUUUGGGAGGCCGA